GGACACGGAAGUAAAUCGAGGAUGCGUCUAGUGGAAUGCGAUGCGAAUCGAUCUAGGGAGAUAAAAGGGGAACGGUGUGAAGCUCGAGUGGAUUCCCUUUGGAUGGUUGUUUUACAUCGGUAAUAAAUAUGCAUUCGUCGUGUCGGUAUGGUGAAGAGACUUCUUGAAAUAAGGAUAAGCCACGCGGUCAGGACAGUGAAUUUUAUUGGUCGACGUUCGAUAUCAACCAGUUCGACGAUAUCGAUUACCGAUAGGCUACGGCCACGUAAAUAUAUAAAAACGUCAAUUUUCCAACGAUAUCGAGACGAUGGCUCGAAGUGGAAAAAUUGUCUACGGAUUUUACGAUGCGCAGCGAAGUCGUAAAACGUCGCUUGCUUCCAUUUACCGGACAUUUACCCACUGUAACGCACACUGCCGAAUAUUUCUGUGAAUCCCGAAAUUAAUCUUUCGAUAAAACGUUUCUGUUAAUAAAGGCAAGAGAAUGCAGAAGUGGGGAAAAAGUAUGAAAAGUAUCAAAUGAUCCAAUCGAACAUACGAUGCUUGAAGAUAUAUAGGAAGAUGUGUAGACACCUAUUUCACGUGGUAAUAUUUAAUCGAUACGAUCAAACAUAAUUAUUAAUUAUCCAAUGUAUGGGUAGUACAUGAUCAAGUUUAGUAAUAGCGUUAUAAAUGAUAGUAUUAAAUGUACAAGUAUUAUACGCGUGAAAUUUACGACACGCCUGAUUAUGGUUCGUUAUAUUCCUCUUGAAAUAAACGGUGAUACUUUCGGUGA